UCCGGCCGGACCUGACUGCUAUCGGAUUGAUACUAAGCCAUGCGAGUCAUUGUAGCAAUACAAGGCAUACGGCUCAGUAACGCGUAGUCAACCUAACCUAUGGACGGGAAUAACCUCGGGAAACUGAGAAUAAUGCCCGAUAGAACAUUAUGCCUGGAAUGGUUUAUGUUCCAAAUGAUUUAUCGCCGUAGGAUGGGACUGCGGCCUAUCAGUUUGUUGGUGAGGUAAUGGCCCACCAAGACUAUUACAGGUACGGGCUCUGAGAGGAGUAGCCCGGAGAUGGGUACUGAGACACGGACCCAGGCCCUAUGGGGCGCAGCAGGCGAGAAAACUUUGCAAUGUGCGAAAGCACGACAAGGUUAAUCCGAGUGGUUUCUGCUAAAGGAACCUUUUGUCAGUCCUAGAAACACUGAUGAAUAAGGGGUGGGCAAGUUCUGGUGUCAGCCGCCGCGGUAAAACCAGCACCUCAAGUGGUCAGGAUGAUUAUUGGGCCUAAAGCAUCCGUAGCCGGCUCUGUAAGUUUUCGGUUAAAUCUGUACGCUCAACGUACAGGCUGCCGGGAAUACUGCAAAGCUAGGGAGUGGGAGAGGUAGACGGUACUCGGUAGGAAGGGGUAAAAUCCUUUGAUCUAUUGAUGACCACCUGUGGCGAAGGCGGUCUACCAGAACACGUCCGACGGUGAGGGAUGAAAGCUGGGGGAGCAAACCGGAUUAGAUACUCGGGUAGUCCCAGCUGUAAACCAUGCAAACUCAGUGAUGCAUUGGCUUGUGGCCAAUGCAGUGCUGCAGGGAAGCCGUUAAGUUUGCCGCCUGGGAAGUACGUACGCAAGUAUGAAACUUAAAGGAAUUGGCGGGGGAGCACCACAAGGGGUGAAGCCUGC
rnacentral:rRNA from 1 species